rnacentral:rRNA from 1 species
UACAGAGGGUGCGAGCGUUAAUCGGAAUUACUGGGCGUAAAGCGUGCGUAGACGGUUAUUUAAGUCAGGUGUGAAAGCCCCGGGCUCAACCUGGGAAUUGCAUUUGAGACUGAAUAGCUAGGGUGCGGAAGAGGGAAGCGGAAUUUCCGGUGUAGCGGUGAAAUGCGUAGAUAUCGGAAGGAACACCAGUGGCGAAAGCGGCUUCCUGGUCCAGCACCGACGUCAGGCACGAAAGCGUGGGGAGCAAACAGG